rnacentral:rRNA from 1 species
CUACGGGUGGCUGCAGUGGGGAAUAUUGCACAAUGGAGGAAACUCUGAUGCAGCAACGCCGCGUGGAGGAUGACACUUUUCGGAGCGUAAACUCCUUUUAUAUAGGAAGAAGAUGACGGUACUAUAUGAAUAAGCGCCGGCUAACUCCGUGCCAGCAGCCGCGGUAAUACGGAGGGCGCAAGCGUUACUCGGAAUCACUGGGCGUAAAGAGCGUGUAGGCGGAUUAAAAAGUCAGAAGUGAAAUCCUAUAGCUUAACUAUAGAACUGCUUCUGAAACUCUUAAUCUAGAAUAUGGGAGAGGUAGAUGGAAUUCCUGGUGUAGGGGUAAAAUCCGCAGAGAUCAGAAGGAAUACCGAUUGCGAAGGCGAUCUACUAGAACAUUAUUGACGCUGAGACGCGAAAGCGUGGGGAGCAAACAGGAUUAGAUACCCCGGUAGUC